rnacentral:lncRNA from 1 species
UGGUACACACCACCGGUUCCGAAAUCGAAGCACACCCUCGGCGUCUACACUGAAAUCGCCGUCACGUCCGCUCUCGAUGUUGCGCCGCACCUUUUGGAGAGUUGGGUCUGUAGGUUGCAACCCCCAAUUCUCUCCAACAGGGUUGGUUGAACAACGAGAGUUGACAACAUAGCCGGAACCUCCGGAGCUACAACCUCGAG